rnacentral:rRNA from 1 species
AUUGAACGCUGGCGGCAGGCCUAACACAUGCAAGUCGAGCGGAUGAAGGGAGCUUGCUCCUGGAUUCAGCGGCGGACGGGUGAGUAAUGCCUAGGAAUCUGCCUUGUAUUGGGGGAUAACGUCCGGACACGGGCGCUAAUACCGCAUACGUCCUGAGGGAGAAAGUGGGGGAUCUUCGGACCUCACGCUAUCAGAUGAGCCUAGGUCGGAUUAGCUAGUUGGUGGGGUAAAGGCCUACCAAGGCGACGAUCCGUAACUGGUCUGAGAGGAUGAUCAGUCACACUGGAACUGAGACACGGUCCAGACUCCUACGGGAGGCAGCAGUGGGGAAUAUUGGACAAUGGGCGAAAGCCUGAUCCAGCCAUGCCGCGUGUGUGAAGAAGGUCUUCGGAUUGUAAAGCACUUUAAGUUGGGAGGAAGGGCAGUAAGUUAAUACCUUGCUGUUUUGACGUUACCAACAGAAUAAGCACCGGCUAACUUCGUG